rnacentral:rRNA from 1 species
GGUUAGUGGCGGACGGGUGAGUAGCGCGUGAGAAUCUGCCCUCAGGAGGGGGAUAACGGCUGGAAACGGCCGCUAAUACCCCAUAUGCCGAGAGGUGAAAUGAAUUUCGCCUGAGGAUGAGCUCGCGUCUGAUUAGCUAGUUGGUGAGGUAAUGGCUCACCAAGGCUUCGAUCAGUAGCUGGUCUGAGAGGAUGAUCAGCCACACUGGGACUGAGACACGGCCCAGACUCCUACGGGAGGCAGCAGUGGGGAAUUUUCCGCAAUGGGCGAAAGCCUGACGGAGCAACGCCGCGUGAGGGAUGAAGGCCUCUGGGCUGUAAACCUCUUUUAUCAAGGAAGAAGAUCUGACGGUACUUGAUGAAUAAGCCACGGCUAAUUCCGUGCCAGCAGCCGCGGUAAUACGGGAGUGGCAAGCGUUAUCCGGAAUUAUUGGGCGUAAAGCGUCCGCAGGCGGUUUUGAAAGUCUGUUGUUAAAGCGUGGAGCUUAACUCCAUUUCAGCAAUGGAAACUACAAGACUAGAGUGUGGUAGGGGCAGAGGGAAUUCCCGGUGUAGCGGUGAAAUGCGUAGAUAUCGGGAAGAACACCAGUGGCGAAGGCGCUCUGCUGGGCCAUAACUGACGCUCAUGGACGAAAGCCAGGGGAGCGAAAGGGAUUAGAUACCCCUGUAGUCCUGGCCGUAAACGAUGAACACUAGGUGUCGGGGGAAUCGACCCCCUCGGUGUCGUAGCCAACGCGUUAAGUGUUCCGCCUGGGGAGUACGCACGCAAGUGUGAAACUCAAAGGAAUUGACGGGGGCCCGCACAAGCGGUGGAGUAUGUGGUUUAAUUCGAUGCAACGCGAAGAACCUUACCAGGGUUUGACAUCCUGCGAAUCCCUUGGAAACUUGGGAGUGCCUUCGGGAGCGCAGUGACAGGUGGUGCAUGGCUGUCGUCAGCUCGUGUCGUGAGAUGUUGGGUUAAGUCCCGCAACGAGCGCAACCCACGUCUUUAGUUGCCAGCAUUUAGUUGGGCACUCUAGAGAGACUGCCGGUGAUAAACCGGAGGAAGGUGUGGAUGACGUCAAGUCAUCAUGCCCCUUACAUCCUGGGCUACACACGUACUACAAUGCUACGGACAAAGGGCGGCAAACUCGCGAGAGCUAGCAAAUCCCAUAAACCGUGGCUCAGUUCAGAUCGUAGGCUGCAACUCGCCUACGUGAAGGAGGAAUCGCUAGUAAUCGCAGGUCAGCAUACUGCGGUGAAUACGUUCCCGGGCCUUGUACACACCGCCCGUCACACCAUGGAAGUUGGCCACGCCCGAAGUCGUUACUCCAACCCUUGUGGAGGAGGAUGCCGAAGGUGGGGCUGAUGACUGGGGUGAAGUCGUAACAAGGUAGCCGUACCGGAAGGUGC